CUUCCUUCAGAGAGACCAUCAGGGACUGUCCAUAUCUUUAUUUGUGAAGGUAUGAUUCACCCCACCGCCCAAUAUUACCAUGUAAAUGAUACAAGUGCCAGCUGCUGGAGAGAAACAUAGCACUAAUGAGUUUUUGUAAUUAUUAGAAAAAGCUAAAUACGGAACAUUUUGGGUAUCCUACCCAUGUCAGUUCAGGACAAAAACAUUUAAUACAGAAAAUACCCUGUAUAUACAGGAUGUCUGGGAACAGUCACAUUUAUUUUCGUUGUUAGAUGAGUCUGUCCCACAUUCGUCUAGGUCCCAGGAAGGACGAAGACUAAAAGGGUAGGUGGAACCGUGGUUUUCCUUGCCAACCGUGGACUCCAGCAGGAUCCCUGGCUUGGGCCUCCUGGAGAUGACAAAACAAGUGACAUUCUCCCCACACCUGCACAGCCGGGGCUUCGGGAGAUCCACGCAGUAAAGUGGGCCAACAGCUGAGAGGCAGUUGGUUAGACGGGUGUCACUUUUGUCCAAAGGCUGCUGUCUCAGAGACACAUGCUAAUAUAUAGGAUGUGUCAUCUGCCACAGAUCAGUAGACGGCCGCUGCAACCAGUACUGCGCUGGGCGCCGAGUCACGUGGGUCCGGCGGCGGGGACCACCGAGAUGUGGGGCCUCCAGGCGGCCUAGAGGGCCCUUGGGCGCUUGCUUGCUUCCGGAUCGGCUUUUAGUUUCCAGCUUCUUCUAGAUGUUCGCGGAGGAAGAUUGUUGUCUGUUAGCAAGUUCCACCGGGCCAAGUCUUGGGUUGCCAGAUUCUUCGCUGCCCCUGGCGGCUCGUCAGCCUCCUCCCUUGAACUGGGUCCCAAUGGUGGCCUGCCCCUCCGUCACCUGCGCUCGAGAGUUUGAGCCUCGCAGAAGCCGCCCGAGGUUCUGCUUUCCCAACCCAGAAGACAGUACAUGAAGCCAGGAGACGUACUAUCAGCCAUGACCCAAACAGCUCCGCCUCAGGUGAGCUGUUUUCUUUAAGUCUUUUCACUCACAUUAGCUAUCAGGUAAUCAGGCAAGGAUGAAGAGGGCCUCAUUUGGCUAGGCUGUGGUUUUCUCUUUGAUUUUGUCACCAGGGAUAUG
rnacentral:lncRNA from 1 species